rnacentral:rRNA from 1 species
CUACGGGUUGCAGCAGUGAGGAAUAUUGCACAAUGGGGGGAACCCUGAUGCAGCAACGCCGCGUGGAGGAUGACGCAUUUCGGUGUGUAAACUCCUUUUAUCAGAGAAGAACAUGACGGUAUCUGAUGAAUAAGCUCCGGCUAACUCCGUGCCAGCAGCCGCGGUAAUACGGAGGGAGCAAGCGUUAUUCGGAAUCACUGGGCGUAAAGGACGCGUAGGCGGGACAGUAAGUCAGGUGUGAAAUCCAAUGGCUCAACCAUUGAACUGCACUUGAAACUGCUGACCUAGAGUACUGAAGGGGCAGAUGGAAUUAGUGGUGUAGGGGUAAAAUCCGUAGAUAUCACUAGGAAUACCGAAAGCGAAGGCGAUCUGCUGGGAAGUUACUGACGCUGAGGCGUGAAAGCGUGGGGAGCAAACAGGAUUAGAUACCCCGGUAGUC